rnacentral:rRNA from 1 species
UACGAAGGGGGCUAGCGUUGCUCGGAAUCACUGGGCGUAAAGCGCACGUAGGCGGACUCUUAAGUCAGGGGUGAAAUCCUGGAGCUCAACUCCAGAACUGCCUUUGAUACUGAGGAUCUUGAGUUCGGGAGAGGUGAGUGGAACUGCGAGUGUAGAGGUGAAAUUCGUAGAUAUUCGCAAGAACACCAGUGGCGAAGGCGGCUCGCUGGGCGUGAUCUGACGCUGAGGCGCGAAGGCGUGGGAGCGAACAGG